GACUGAAGCGACUUAGCAGCUUAGCAGAAGCUCAUUUACAUUCACAAAAGGCUCUACAGCAUGCCUGUGGGUCAAACAGGGAAAUGAUGAAUGGAUGAGGAUCACAGUCUUGGUGUGUAAAUUUGCUUUUUUGGAAGUAAGGGGAAAGUUUGAGGCCUUGUUGGUGGCUGGGCUGGAGCCAGUUCGUGGGUUUCAAAAGGCAAAGCGGAAUGCAAAUCUAAGUUUUCAUCAUCACUGCCAGGCAGGCUCCUCCUGUGCUUCCAGGAUGAUGAGUCCAGGAUGGAAUAAAACCAACAAGGAAGAAGUCAUCUAGGUGAUCCUGAGCAUCAGAUAGGGAAGGCAGAUUCUGUAUUGUUGAUCCACCAGCGAAGCCCCUCAGGGGUUUCCAGCAUCCCACAGCUGCAAACAAUUUCAGACGGAUUAAACUAGAAUUUUGGAAGCGGAAAGAAAACCAUGUGGAUAGCUGAGAUCUUCUGUGAAGAAAGGAAAAGACAAAAGGCCGUAGAUCCAAAACUUAUAGAAAAUCAACGUUUAGAAUUUCAACUGUGGAGGAAGGACCAAAAAAAUGCAAGAAGCAGGCAGACGCUUUACCAUCUGAGCCUCCAGGAAAGCUCUAGAAUGAAGAGGAGAAUGAAGAGACGAAGCCAAAGCAACAACACCACCCAGUUGUGGAUGUGACUGGUGAUAGAAGCAAGGUCCGAUCCUGUNNNNNNNNNNNNNNNNNNNNNNNNNNNNNNNNNNNNNNNNNNNNNNNNNNCAAAUUGGAAGUGGUCAAACAGGAGAUGGCAAGAGUGAACAUCGAUAUUUCACUGGAAGGGCAGGCAUGAAAUCAACCAGUGGGUGAUUUGGAAUCAAGGAAGGGGAAUGUGUGUGUUUUAAGAUGAGUAAUCUUUUUAUUAAUUUUUUUUUCCUUGCUUAAAAACAGUCCAUUUCUGUAUCUGACUGGGUCAGGUCUUAGUUGGGGGACAGGGGAGCUUCCAUUGCUAUGCAUGGACUCUCCAGUGGCACAUGGGCUUCAGCAUAGGCUCCAGAGCACAAGGGCUCAGUAGUUACUACGUGUGGGCUUAGUUGCCCCAUGGCAUUUCGGAUCUUUUCCCCAACCAGGGAUUGAACCCAUGUCCCCUGCUUUGCAAGGAGGAUUCUUAAUCACUGGACCAUCAGGGAAGUCCCAGAAAGUUCGUAAUCCUGUACUCUGAUCUGAUUACUCCAGGGGAGAAAAUGUUGAAGAGAGAAGGAAAAGACUAGUCCAUCAUCCUUGAGACAGAAAUCCCAGCACACACAGAGGGACUCUCAUUUGACAGGAAGGACAUUGCUUCCAUUAGAGA
rnacentral:lncRNA from 1 species